UACGUAGGGUGCGAGCGUUGUCCGGAAUUAUUGGGCGUAAAGAGCUCGUAGGCGGUGUGUCACGUCGGCCGUGAAAACCUGCAGCUUAACUGUGGGCGUGCGGUCGAUACGGGCAUCACUGGAGUUCGGCAGGGGAGACUGGAAUUCCUGGUGUAGCGGUGAAAUGCGCAGAUAUCAGGAGGAACACCGGUGGCGAAGGCGCCACUCUGGGCCGGAACUGACGCUGAGGAGCGAAAGCGUGGGUAGCAAACAGG
rnacentral:rRNA from 1 species